UACGUAGGCAGCAAGCGUUGUUCGGAGUUACUGGGCGUAAAGGGUGCGUAGGUGGCUCUAUAAGUAUGGUGUGAAAUCUCCCGGCUUAACUGGGAGGGUGCGCCGUAGACUGUGGGGCUAGAGUGUGGGAGAGGAAAGUGGAAUUCCUGGUGUAGCGGUGAAAUGCGUAGAUAUCAGGAGGAACACCGGUGGCGAAGGCGGGUCUCUGGGCCGAUACUGACGCUGGAGGAGCGAAAGCCGUGGGGAGCAAACAGG
rnacentral:rRNA from 1 species